CCUUGACAACAAGACACCGGUAUAAACUCAGGUGGGCGCCGCCAUCUUGUCUGGGCGACAUCCGGUAUCUUGGUUUUUUAAUUAGUUAAUCUACGCCACCACCUCGCGAGCACUCCCUAAUACAACCCGGAAGUUGUGAGAGUGGACGUUCAGCGUAUAUACCAAAGCCUCAGUGUGUAAUUGUUUGUAAUUUCCUGGCCGCAUCUGGUGGUAAAGUUGCAAACCGCAUCCGACCGAGCAACCGACGGGGGACACUUUAUGGUGGCGCGCCGCUGAUUCCAUUUCCGGUUUCCGGCAGGCAGCGCUGAAAACAAAAAUUCAACGCGAACGCGAAGUAGCAAACAUGGCGACCUACACGGAAGUGGAGUCCACCUCAUGUACCAGUUGUCUCUAUGCAAACCUGUGGGGUUUUGCUCAGCGGUGCAGAAGAAAACAACACACACAAGAUAUAGACGGCAAACGCUCUGGUGUUUUAAGAAACCUCUUGACGGAGCGUGGUACGCAGCACGUCAUGCUUCAGAACUGGAAAGAAGCCCAGCAUUCCUGAACACUGCUCUUCUCCCAAGUAAACACUCCUACUGAGCCCUGCCUAUAAAUCUAUGAUGGAGCGUCAUGUGUUUCCAAGAGAGCCGAGGCGCCGGGCGGACGGAGGCGAAAGGAUGAAGCAGUCGACGCGACAGCGGCUGAGCUGGCUGAGGAAACUUCACCGCCAACCCUCGGGUGCAGACUGGAGCCACGACCAUUCAGCUCAGCCAGAGA